rnacentral:rRNA from 1 species
UACGUAGGGUGCGAGCGUUGUCCGGAAUUAUUGGGCGUAAAGGGCUCGUAGGCGGUUUGUUGCGUCGGGAGUGAAAACUCAGGGCUUAACCCUGAGCCUGCUUCCGAUACGGGCAGACUUGAGGUAUGCAGGGGAGAACGGAAUUCCUGGUGUAGCGGUGAAAUGCGCAGAUAUCAGGAGGAACACCGGUGGCGAAGGCGGUUCUCUGGGCAUUACCUGACGCUGAGGAGCGAAAGUGUGGGGAGCGAACAGG